ACGGGUGAGUAAUAUAUAGUUAACGUGCCUCUUAGUCUGGGAUAGCCACUGGAAACGGUGAUUAAUACUGGAUAUUCCUUCUAAUUUAAUGUUAGAAGGGAAAGGUUUUUCGCUAAGAGAUCGGACUAUAUUGUAUCAGCUAGUUGGGGAGGUAAUGGCUCACCAAGGCGAUGACACAUAGCGGGUUUGAGAGGAUGAUCCGCCACACUGGUACUGAGACACGGACCAGACUCCUACGGGAGGCAGCAGUGAGGAAUAUUGCACAAUGGGGGAAACCCUGAUGCAGCAACGCCGCGUGGAGGAUGACGCAUUUCGGUGUGUAAACUCCUUUUAUAAGAGAAGAAAAUGACGGUAUCUUAUGAAUAAGUCCCGGCUAACUCCGUGCCAGCAGCCGCGGUAAUACGGAGGGGACAAGCGUUAUUCGGAAUCACUGGGCGUAAAGGACGCGUAGGCGGGUUAUUAAGUCAGGUGUGAAAUCCAAUGGCUCAACCAUUGAACUGCAUUCGAAACUGGUAACCUAGAGUAUGGAAGGGGCAGGUGGAAUUAGUGGUGUACGGGUUAAAUCCGUAGAUCUCACUACGAAUACCGAAAGCGAAGGCGACCUGCUGGGACAUUACUGACGCUGAAGGCCUGAAAGCGUGGGGAGCACACAGGAUUAGAUACCCUGGUAGUCCACGCCCUAAACGAUGAAUGCUAGUUCGUCGGGGAGCUCGUCUCUUCGGUGAUGCACUUAACAGAUUAAGCAUUCCGCCUGGGGAGUACGGUCGCAAGAUUAAAACUCAAAGGAAUAGACGGGGACCCGCACAAGUGNUGGAGCAUGUGGUUUAAUUCGAAGAUACGCGAAGAACCUUACCUAGCCUUGACAUUGAUUGAAUCUUUCAGAGAUGAGAGAGUGCCUUUCGGGGAACAUGAAAACAGGUGCUGCACGGCUGUCGUCAGCUCGUGUCGUGAGAUGUUGGGUUAAGUCCCGCAACGAGCGCAACCCUCGUCGUUAGUUGCUAACAGGUUAAGCUGAGCACUCUAGCGAGACUGCCUUCGCAAGGAGGAGGAAGGUGAGGACGACGUCAAGUCAUCAUGGCCCUUAUGGCUAGGGCUACACACGUGCUACAAUGGGGCGUACAGAGAGUUGCGAUACCGCGAGGUGGAGCCAAUCUCAUAAAGCGUCUCUCAGUUCGGAUUGUUCUCUGCAACUCGA
rnacentral:rRNA from 1 species